CUUUGCUAUGCUCGGUGGAGGCCAUUGGACCUGCGGACAGAAAGAGGAUUUCCAUUCUCUGCAAGAACAAAAGGCCUGAUGAAAAUCUGAGCAGAGGUACACCGGGUACUGCAUGAAUUUUCUGUCGUCCAAUAAACAGGAAGGGUUUCAUUUCUCAUAUUGAAUGGAUUUCCUGAGGCGCUGUGUGCCUGGACACCAACCCUACUGACAGCCAGACCUGACCCAGAAGAGAGCGAAGC